rnacentral:rRNA from 1 species
AUUGAACGCUGGCGGCAUGCUUUACACAUGCAAGUCGAACGGUAACAGGUUAAGCUGACGAGUGGCGAACGGGUGAGUAAUGCAUCGGAACGUGCCCGAUCGUGGGGGAUAACGCAGCGAAAGCUGCGCUAAUACCGCAUACGAUCUGAGGAUGAAAGCGGGGGACCGUAAGGCCUCGCGCGAUCGGAGCGGCCGAUGUCAGAUUAGGUAGUUGGGGGGGUAAAGGCCCACCAAGCCGAGGAUCUGUAGCUGGUCUGAGAGGACGAGCAGCCACACUGGGACUGAGACACGGCCCAGACUCCUACGGGAGGCAGCAGUGGGGAAUUUUGGACAAUGGGCGAAAGCCUGAUCCAGCAAUGCCGCGUGCAGGAAGAAGGCCUUCGGGUUGUAAACUGCUUUUGUACGGAGCGAAAAGGUCCUUUCUAAUACAAGGGGCUCAUGACGGUACCGUAAGAAUAAGCACCGGCUAACUACGUGCCAGCCGCCGCGGUAA